GCAGGUGUGGCUCAGUGGAUAGAGCGUCCGCCUGCAGACUGAAGGGUGCCAGGUUCGAUUCCUGCCAAGGGCA
rfam:Myotis davidii contig151414, whole genome shotgun sequence.